CCUACGUGAGGUGGAGCACGAGGAGAGACUGGGAAUCUCCCUCCAAAUCAAUCCCCCAACCCUAGCUGCCUGCUUCCUCUUGCCCGCCGCCAUCGUUGACUCUUCCAUCCCCUCUUCCAUGAAACGCUGCUUCAGAGAAAAACACCAGGGAGAUUUCAUAUUGAGUUACAGAGUUUUGCCUGAGAAAGAUCGCCGCCGCGCCGUCGUUCCUCGUCGUCGUUCGCCGUACUGAGCGCGGGGAUGGAGCCCACGUGGCCUCAUCUUCCUCCUCGCCGAGUUCACGAAGCCGGAGCAGCUCCAGGACGCCUUCUUCGACCACGUCUUUUUCCUGGAGCCGGCACGUCUGCUUCCUCUUCUUCAUCUCCGUCGUCCCCGAGCUCGAGCGCCUCGCCAUCUUCGUCCUGGCGCUUUGCUUCUUCCCGGAUAGGAUCACGAAGUGGUGAUGUGAGAUACGACGAGUUCUCCGACAAGUUCUUCUGCAGCUUUCCACAGGCGAGCCCUCUCUCUUCACCUAUUUUACUCUCUCCCUCGCACUGCUAUCCUUAUGUUGCGAUUCUUUAUCGAGUCACGUGUCCUAUUCCACUUGUUUACCAUAAUAAUCCCAUAUGUAUCAUUCCUCGCCCA